UACGGAGGGUGCAAGCGUUAUCCGGAUUCACUGGGUUUAAAGGGUGCGUAGGAGGGCAGGUAAGUCAGUGGUGAAAUCUCCAAGCUUAACUUGGAACUGCCGUUGAUACUAUCUGUCUUGAAUACCGUGGAGGUGAGCGGAAUAUGUCAUGUAGCGGUGAAAUGCUUAGAUAUGACGUAGAACACCAAUUGCGAAGGCAGCUCGCUA
rnacentral:rRNA from 1 species